ensembl:piRNA 21ur-813 ncRNA
UUUCGUCAUUUGUAUAAGACA